rnacentral:rRNA from 1 species
CCUACGGGAGGCAGCAGUGGGGAAUAUUGGACAAUGGGGGGAACCCUGAUCCAGCGACGCCGCGUGAGUGAAGAAGUAUUUCGGUAUGUAAAGCUCUAUCAGCAGGGACGAAAGAAAUGACGGUACCUGACUAAGAAGCCCCGGCUAACUACUUGCCAGCAGCCGCGGUAAUACGGAGGGGGCAAGCGUUAUCCGGAUUUACUGGGUGUAAAGGGAGCGUAGACGGCGAUGCAAGUCUGAAGUGAAAGGCGGGGGCCCAACCCCCGGACUGCUUUGGAAACUGUAUGGCUGGAGUGCAGGAGAGGUAAGUGGAAUUCCUAGUGUAGCGGUGAAAUGCGUAGAUAUUAGGAGGAACACCAGUGGCGAAGGCGGCUUACUGGACUGUAACUGACGUUGAGGCUCGAAAGCGUGGGGAGCAAACAGGAUUAGAUACCCCUGUAGUC